GGGGCUAUAGCUCAGUUGGGAGAGCGCCUGGAUCGCACCCAGGAGGUCGCCGGUUCGAGCCCGGCUAGCUCCAUCA
rnacentral:tRNA from 1 species